UACAGAGGGGCAAGCGUUGUCCGGAUUUACUGGGCGUACAGCGCGCGCAGGCGGAACUGGACGUGCCGUGUGACAGACCACCGCUCACCGGUGGAGGGCCACGGUACACGGACAGUUCUGGAGGCAGGGAGAGGGUAGUGGAAUUCCCGGUGUAGUGGUGAAAUGCGUAGAUAUCGGGAGGAACACCAGUGGCGAAGGCGACUACCUGGCCUGUUCUUGACGCUGAGGCGCGAAAGCUAGGGAGCAACAGG
rnacentral:rRNA from 1 species